rnacentral:rRNA from 1 species
AAUGAACGCUAGCUACAGGCUUAACACAUGCAAGUCGAGGGGAAACGAUAGAGAAAGCUUGCUUUUUCUAGGCGUCGACCGGCGCACGGGUGAGUAACGCGUAUCCAACCUGCCCAUCACUUGGGGAUAACCUUGCGAAAGUAAGACUAAUACCCAAUGACGUCUCUAGAAGACAUCUGAAAGAGAUUAAAGAUUUAUCGGUGAUGGAUGGGGAUGCGUCUGAUUAGCUUGUUGGCGGGGUAACGGCCCACCAAGGCGACGAUCAGUAGGGGUUCUGAGAGGAAGGUCCCCCACAUUGGAACGGAGACACGGUCCAAACUCCUACGGGAGGCAGCAGUGUGGAAUAUUGGUCAAUGGACGAGAGUCUGAACCAGCCAAGUAGCGUGCAGGAUGACGGCCCUAUGGGUUGUAAACUGCUUUUAUAAGGGAAUAAAGUGAGACUCGUGAGACUUUUUGCAUGUACCUUAUGAAUGAGGACCGGCUAAUUCCGUGCCAGCCGCCGCGGUAA